AUCUUCCGCAAUGGACGCAAGUCUGACGGAGCAACGCCGCGUGCGUGAAGAAGGUCUUCGGAUCGUAAAGCACUGUUAUUAGAGAAGAACAACCGGGAGAGUAACUGUUACGGGCUGGACGGUAUCUAACCAGAAAGCCACGCCUAACUCUGUGCCAGCAGCCGCGGUAAUACGUAGGUGGCAAGCGUUGUCCGGAUUUAUUGGGCGUAAAGGGAGCGCAGGUGGUGAUUUAAGUCUGAUGUGAAAGCCCACGGCUCAACCGUGGAAGGUCAUUGGAAACUGAAUCACUUGAGUGCAGAAGAGGAAAGUGGAAUUCCAUGUGUAGCGGUGAAAUGCGUAGAUAUAUGGAGGAACACCAGUGGCGAAGGCGACUUUCUGGUCUGUAACUGACGCUGAGGCUCGAAAGCAUGAGGAGCAAAC
rnacentral:rRNA from 1 species